UUUGCCCCUAGAGACAGUGCAGGUGUGGCUGCUGUGUGUCAAGGGGCAGCAGAGAGGAGAGAUGCUAUGUCGAAGCUCAGUGUUCAUUCAGAGCUGUGAACAUCUGAAUGAUCACAAGUCUUACACU
ensembl:snoRNA